ensembl:lncRNA novel transcript
GGCAGCUGAGAGAUACCAAAAGGAAGAAAAAAGAAAACCAUUGCUCUUGAUAUUGCUAAUGCCGGGGGAGGUAAGCUAACGAGAAAGUAGGGAAAAGGAAGGUUUUAGAGUUCACCUCCACUCCUUCCCCUGGCUAACACUCUUUACACUCUUCUGCCUUCCCUUGAGAUAAUUAAAAUAGACUGUACACCGGCCCUAGUCGGUGCCCAUUCCCCCUAACUCUUCACUCAACUACGUGUGUAGUCCGAGGGAGUGAGGACCCCGGGUCCAAGAGCUCAAUCCCGGCCCCGCCCCGUCGGCCCAGGCCCCGGGGCUGGGAGGAGAGGAUGCCUUCGGAGGCGCAGAAUCCGAAAAAGACCAAAUCUCCAGGAUUGUGAAUCAAUCAGAGAAUGUUUAGUUUGAUUAUAAUGUAUCUAGUUGUGGAGCUCUUUGAGUUUAUUCUACUUGGAGUUCAUUGGCCUUCUGGAUGUGUAGAUUCAACAGUCUAUCAAAUUUGGUAUUUUACCAUUCAGAACAUACACAUGGGCAAAGACUUCAUGACUAAAACACCAAAAGCAAUGGCAAGAAAAGCCAAAAUUGACAAAUGGGAUCUAAUUAAACUAAAGAGCUUCUGCACAUCAAAAUAAACUAUCAUCAGAGUGAACAAGCAACUUACAGAAUGGGAGAAAAUGUUUGCAAUCUAUCCAUCUGACAAAGGGCAAAUAUCCAGAAUCUACAAAGAACAUAAAACAAAUUUACAAGAAAAAAACAAACAACCCUAUCAAAAAGUGAGCAAAGGAUAUGAACAGACACUUCUCAAAAGAAGACAUUUAUGCAGCCAACAAACAUAUGAAAAAAAAGCUCAUCAUCACUCGCCAUUAGAGAAAUGCAAAUCAAAACCACAAUGAGAUACCAUCUCACGCCAGUUAGAAUGGCGAUCAUUAAAAAGUCAGGAAACAACAGAUGCUGGAGAGGAUGUGGAGAAAUAGAAAUGCUUUUACACUGUUGGUGGGAGUGUAAAUUAGUUCAAUUAUUGUGGAAGACAGUAUGGCGAUUCCUCAAGAAUCUAGAACCAGAAAUACAAUUUGACCCAGCAAUCCCUUUACUGGGUAUAUACCCAAAGGGUUAUAAAUCAUUCUACUAUAAAGACAUAUGCACACGUAUGUUUAUUGUGGCACUGUUCACAAUAGCAAAGACUUGGAACCAACCCAAAUGCCCAUCAAUGAUAGACCGGAUUCAGAAAAUGUGGUGCAUAUACACCAUGGAAUACUAUGCCGCCAUAAAAAAGGAUGAGUUUAUGUCCUUUGCAGGGAUGUGGAUGAAGCUGGAAGCCAUCAUUCUCAACAAGCUAACACAAGAACAGAAAACCAAACACUGCAAGUUAUCACUCAUAAGUUGGAGGUGAACAGUGAGAACACAUGGAUACAGGGAGGUGAACAUCACACACUGGGGCCUGCCAUGGAGUGGGGGGCUGGGGGAGAUAGCAUUAGGAGAGAUACCUAAUGUAGAUGAUGGGUUGAUGGGUGCAGCAAACCACCAUGGCAUGUGUAUACCUAUGUAACAAACUUGCACGUUCUGCACAUGUAUCCCAGAACUUAAAGUAUAAUAAAAAAAAUUUUAAAAAA